CGUGCAAGGCUCAACUGCCAAUCGGACCAAACAAAGCCCAGCCUUGUGCCUGUCGGCGAAGCACACAGUGACGCCGAUGCAAACCCCACAGGCCGUCCACAAGGGCUCCACACCAUCGUUUGGGCCUCCGUUUCUGCCAUUUGUAAGGCCCAGGUGAAAAUGCAGCCCAUCACACUCGCUCGCGCCGGCCAGGCGGCCGCCGCAUCGGCACCGCAGCGGGCGACCAGCACCGGCGCGGAUGACGGGAUGAGGAACAUCGGAAGGAUCUCCCGACGAUCCUGCUCCACAUCUUGAAUCCAGGCUUUUUUUGCGCUCUCCACUGUCCUGGCCGCUCGAGGAUUUGGUGCCCUAAAGGUAGUACCGAAGAAGAGACGCGCGGGAGCAGUGGCGAUGACGAUGAAGGGGAAGGCGAACUGGCGGGAUGCGAUUUUCGGGGAAGCGCGAGAUUUACUGGACGCAUCCAUACUGACCUGUUUUUAUAAGCUUCAAGGCCGAGUGUUGGGAAAGAGCCAAAUCCGCAGUGUUUCCCAGCUGUGUAGAACCACUGGAAGAAUGCCCAAAGGAAACUAAGGGAGAAGUUACAAUAGUUAAUGUCACCUACUUUGCACGUUCAGUACCCUGCGGUGCAUGGAAUCCAUUGAGGAGGUAAGCAGUAGCAGCUCCACUUGGAAUUUCCCUGAAGAAUACAGUGGGAAAGUGAAGCUUCUACCUUUCUCAGAGGCACCAGAGCAAAAAGACCAACAAAACUGACGAGAAACAUAAACCCUAUCAUCCAUCCGAGGUGGGGAUCCUUGAUAUCCUGAGGAUCAUUGGAUUCUGUCUUCUUAGCAAUAGCUCCACUCAUACCAUACAGAUAACUGCUAAACCCACCUGUUAAAUUACAAUUUCAGUGGCAACUCUAUGAUAUGAUUAUAUCGUUUCUUAUCUCACCACGCUAAGUCCUUAAGACUGUUUUUUUUCUCAGUUAAAUGUGGUGUUCUUUCAGGUGCUAGUCUAUUAGUGCUUCUAGUGGUUGAUUAUGGAACUUUGUCAGGUUGGUUUCUUUUGGUAGCGGUGUGUUGGGUUGUUAUCCCUGCCAGUGGGUACUGGGUGCCUAGAGGCAAACUUUGCUGUAAACCUUUUGGUCUUUUGACUAUAAUUGAAAGGCCGGGGCAUGAGGCCCUCGAACUCUAAAAAAAAAAUAUAAAUUGCAGGAAUUGUCAUGCAAUGUCAAA